rnacentral:rRNA from 1 species
UGAGGAAUAUUGGUCAAUGGGCGAGAGCCUGAACCAGCCAAGUAGCGUGCAGGAUGACGGCCCUAUGGGUUGUAAACUGCUUUUAUGUGGGGAUAAAGUGCGUGACGUGUCAUGCAUUGCAGGUACCACAUGAAUAAGGACCGGCUAAUUCCGUGCCAGCAGCCGCGGUAAUACGGAAGGUCCGGGCGUUAUCCGGAUUUAUUGGGUUUAAAGGGAGCGUAGGCUGUCUAUUAAGCGUGUUGUGAAAUUUACCGGCUCAACCGGUGGCUUGCAGCGCGAACUGGUCGACUUGAGUAUGCAGGAAGUAGGCGGAAUUCAUGGUGUAGCGGUGAAAUGCUUAGAUAUCAUGACGAACUCCGAUUGCGCAGGCAGCUUACUGUAGCAUAACUGACGCUGAUGCCCGAAAGUGCGGGUAUCAAACAGG